rnacentral:piRNA from 1 species
AACCUCUUCCCUAUGCCACUCUAAAGGCCC